AUGUCCUUUGGAACCGCUGGUCUUGCUGACGGUUUGUCGCUGGUCUCUCUGGCGACAUGUCGCUGAUCUCGCUGGCGACAUAAACCCUCAGGAUAAUCAAUUGCCAACGUAUAUGCCCCCAUUGGCAAGGUCCUUUACAUAGUCAGGUUGUCAAUUCUUAUUGUUUCUUAUAUCAUAAUUCUUCAUAAAUUAUGUUUCAUAUUCUAAUUUCGAUAAUAA
rnacentral:lncRNA from 1 species